rnacentral:rRNA from 1 species
AUGAACGCUGGCGGCGUGCCUAAUACAUGCAAGUCGAGCGAACAGACGAGGAGCUUGCUCCUCUGACCUUAGCGGCGGACGGGUGAGUAACACGUGGAUAACCUACCUAUAAGACUGGGAUAACUUCGGGAAACCGGAGCUAAUACCGGAUAAUAUAUUGAACCGCAUGGUUCAAUAGUGAAAGACGGUUUUGCUGUCACUUAUAGAUGGAUCCGCGCCGCAUUAGCUAGUUGGUAAGGUAACGGCUUACCAAGGCAACGAUGCGUAGCCGACCUGAGAGGGUGAUCGGCCACACUGGAACUGAGACACGGUCCAGACUCCUACGGGAGGCAGCAGUAGGGAAUCUUCCGCAAUGGGCGAAAGCCUGACGGAGCAACGCCGCGUGAGUGAUGAAGGUCUUCGGAUCGUAAAACUCUGUUAUUAGGGAAGAACAAAUGUGUAAGUAACUAUGCACGUCUUGACGGUACCUAAUCAGAAAGCCACGGCUAACUACGUG